AGAGUUUGAUCCUGGCUCAGGACGAACGCUGGCGGCGUGCUUAAUACAUGCAAGUCAAGGAGAAAAUUUCCUUCGGGGAAUAAGUAAACUGGCGAACGGGUGAGUAACACGUAGGUAACCUGCCUUAGAGAUUGGGAUAACCCCGGGAAACCGGAGCUAAUACCGAAUAAUGCAACGAAUCCUUCGGGGUAUGUUGUUAAAGCGGGCUUCGGCUCGUACUUUAAGAUGGGCCUGCGUCCGAUUAGCUUGUUGGUGGGGUAAUGGCCUACCAAGGCGACAAUCGGUAGCUGGUCUGAGAGGAUGAUCAGCCACACUGGGAUUGAGAUACGGCCCAGACUCCUACGGGAGGCAGCAGUAAGGAAUUUUGCGCAAUGGACGAAAGUCUGACGCAGCAACGCCGCGUGAUCGAUGACGCUUCUAGGAGUGUAAAGAUCUGUCGUGAGGGAAGAAAAACUUGGAUGUAAAUAAUGUUCGAAUUUGACGGUACCUCACAAGAAAGCACCGGCUAACUUCGUGCCAGCAGCCGCGGUAAUACGAGGGGUGCUAGCGUUGUCCGGAAUUACUGGGCGUAAAGGGUCCGUAGGCGUUUUGCCAAGUUGAUCGUUAAAGCCACCGGCUCAACCGGUGAUCUGCGAUCAAAACUGGCAGAAUAGAAUAUGUGAGAGGAAUGUGGAAUUCCUGGUGUAGCGGUGACAUGCGUAGAUAUCAGGAGGAACACCAAUGGCGAAGGCAGCAUUCUGGCACAAUAUUGACGCUGAGGGACGAAAGCGUGGGGAGCGAACAGGAUUAGAUACCCUGGUAGUCCACGCCGUAAACGAUGAGUACUUGGUGGUGGAGGAUUCGACCCCUUCACUGUCGGAGCUAACGCGUUAAGUACUCCGCCUGGGGAAUACGGCCGCAAGGCUGAAACUCAAAGGAAUUGACGGGGACCCGCACAAGAGGUGGAACAUGUGGUUUAAUUCGAUGCAACGCGAAGAACCUUACCUGGACUUGACAUGUUAGUGAAAAUUUUGUGAAAGCAAAGCUUUCUUUGAGC
rnacentral:rRNA from 1 species